CUGCGAACAAACACCCCUCUGUGUGGCCUCCAGGAGGGCUUGCCGGAAACAGGAUGUUGACCCGCGGCUCCUCAGGGUGGAUCCAGUCCCAUAGGAUACCACAUUUCCCACCACGGUGAUGGAUCCCAGCUGUAGCCUCUGAUGAGAACAGGCAGGCAGUUUUUCCAAAAGAAAUGCAGCAAUGGCUGCAGAGGAAGAAGCAGCCCCGAGUUCCUGAGUACAGCAGCUAUAAAAGCCAGGAAAUAGAUGUGGAUUGAUGGCCUGUAAUGGGCUUAGUGCUGUGGCCCGCUGAGUUAUGUAACUCCUAUUUGUUAUCGGCUUGGAUAAAGUCUCCAUUGAAGCAACUCACUAAGCUGAUUCCGUGACAUCGCCUUUAGUGUGCUUACAGGCAGGUGACAGCAGAAAUUCCUCUGCAACUUCAAAGACCAGAAAUUGUGAUUGGAUACUUCCAGAAAUCCCUUAGGCCAAUGUUUUUUUGUACCCAUCUCAAAACCUGCUCACCUCUGAACCAGUCCCAUGCUUGGAUGCCUGCCCCUAGUGAAGGGGUGAGGAAGAGAGCCAGGGCAGUGAGAAAGCAAAGUACGGUGGGGGCGAGGAAGGACCUGAACUAAUAAAAAGUUCCAGGCUUAUCUCUGCUGUUGCUGCCCUUGGCUUCUGGCUCACUAGCAAGCACUUGGAAGGUUAAUACCAGUAUG